GACGUAGGGCGCGAGCGUUUGUCCGGAUUUAUUGGGCGUAAAGAGCUCGUAGGCGGCUUGUCGCGUCGACUGUGAAAACCCGCGGCUCAACUGCGGGCCUGCAGCCGAUACGGGCAGGCUAGAGUUCGGUAGGGGAGACUGGAAUUCCUGGUGUAGCGGUGAAAUGCGCAGAUAUCAGGAGGAACACCGGUGGCGAAGGCGGGUCUCUGGGCCGAUACUGACGCU
rnacentral:rRNA from 1 species